CAAAGGUAGCAUAAUCACUUGCCUAUUAAUUGUAGGCUAGAAUGAAAGGAUCAACGAAAUAAAAACUGUCUCAGUUAGUUACCUAAAAAUUAUUUUCUAUCUGAAGAAAGGUAGAUAAUCUCGUAGGACAAGAAGACCCUAUAGAGCUUCAUUUUAAUUAUAGAAUACACUAUAAAAAUAUUCGGUUGGGGCGACCCAGGGCUAAAUAAUCACCCUACAUAUAAAAGAUCAAUAAAUCAAUUAAAUGACCCUUAAAAGAUCAAAAGAUCAAGCUACCUUAGGGAUAACAGGCUAAUCCCACUCAAAAGUCCUUAUCAACAGUGGGGAUUGGCACCUCGAUGUUGGCUUAGGGUAUCUAUAUAGCGCAAAAGUU
rnacentral:rRNA from 1 species